CGGGAAAUGGCUCAGUUUGGUAGAGCGUUGCGUUCGGGACGCAGAGGUCGCAAGUUCAAAUCUUGUUUUCCCGA
rnacentral:tRNA from 1 species